UCUUUGGUUUAUUUUUCACCCUUGCUUCCCUCUUACCCACAGACAUGCACAUUUACAUUUCUUUUUCUACUUUAAUAUAAUUUCCUUCUACAGGAACAUUUUUCCCAAACAAUUUCUUAAGUCCUCCAAAUGAAAGGCUUCUGGCACAGUACAGCAAAUUGGUCUUCAAUUUUCCCAGGACAUGAGUGAGACUGGUGUGGCCAUAGAGGGGAGUUGGUAAAGACCUCAAACUGCUGCAUGUGGGGUUUAAGACCCUGGGCCGUGUGUAAGGAGCAUCGUGGAUGCUGAGGAUCCAGCCAGAAGUGGCAGGAGCAUCUCUGGUUCCUUUCCUCAGUGAAUCUCCUCUGAACAUGUCUUGAGCUGCCUGCAAAAUAUGCUGUGACACCCAACACAGCGACACAGAAAGUCUCUGCCUGCCUCUACUGUCCCUGAUGCUGGAGGAGGACAAGCUGUUCUGGACAAUGACCAGGACCUAAGCUGCGUCCUUCCUAUUUGAUUGACACUUGAAACGUUGAGUUGGAAUCAGCCAGAGGCACUGCUACAAGCUUGAAGCCUCUGCUGGGGAUAACAACUGGUGACAUCUGCAGAAAGGCCGACAAAAGGCAGUUGAAAGCCGUGUUUGUUGCUUUCCCCUCUCAGAUCUCCUCUCUUUCAUGGAGCUCCUUACUUGCUUUAAUAUUAUGAUUCAGCACCUGGCUCUUUUGAACCUUGCUUUAAACUUCAAAAGGCGAGGUGGUAUUAACAAACAUGAAACGAAAAAGUGGCAGUAGUUUGAUUUACUGUUGUCGUCUUAUCAAGGGGGUUUUUUGUCACCAGCUGCCACUUUCUGUCAUCUUUGGAACCAUUAUCAUUUCUCUAAAAUCUAAAAGACUCCACUUAAUAACAGCUUUGAAUACAAGCAGGAUCAGUAACGUAUACAGUUCUGGGAUGACAGGGCCAUCAAAUGAAAAGAAAGAUGUUGCAAAAAAAAAAAAAUCCUUAAAAAAAAAAAAAACAAUAAAACAAA